rnacentral:rRNA from 1 species
GCUUAACGCGAAGAACCUUACCAGGCCUUGACAUGCACUAGACCGACUCUGAAAGGAGUCUUCCCUUCGGGGCUGGUGCACAGGUGCUGCAUGGCUGUCGUCAGCUCGUGUCGUGAGAUGUUGCGUUAAGUCGCGCAACGAGCGCAACCCCUGUCCUUAGUUGCCAUCAGGUAAAGCUGGGCACUCUAGGGAGACAAACCCUCUCUGAGGGUGGGAAGGUGGGGAUGACGUCAAGUCAGGAUGGCCCUUACGGCCUGGGCUGCACACGUGCUACAAUGCCCGGUACAGAGGGACGCAAUACCGCGAGGUGGAGCAAAAUCCCAAAAACCGGGCCCAGUUCAGAUUGCAGUCUGCAACUCGACUGCAUGAAGCCGGAAUCGCUAGUAAUGGCGUAUCAGCUACGACGCCGUGAAUACGUUCCCGGGUCUUGUACACACCGAGGUCUUGUACACACCGG